CCUACGGGGGGCAGCAGUGAGGAAUAUUGGUCAAUGGGCGCGAGCCUGAACCAGCCAAGUCGCGUGAGGGAAGACGGUCCUAUGGAUUGUAAACCUCUUUUGUCGGGGAGCAAAAGACGCCACGCGUGGCGUUCCGAGAGUACCCGAAGAAAAAGCAUCGGCUAACUCCGUGCCAGCAGCCGCGGUAAUACGGAGGAUGCGAGCGUUAUCCGGAUUUAUUGGGUUUAAAGGGUGCGCAGGCGGAAGAUCAAGCCAGCGGUAAAAUUGAGAGGCUCAACCUCUUCGAGCCGUUGAAACUGGUUUGCUUGAGUGAGCGAGAAGUAUGCGGAAUGCGUGGUGUAGCGGUGAAAUGCAUAGAUAUCACGCAGAACUCCGAUUGCGAAGGCAGCAUACCGGCGCUCAACUGACGCUCAUGCACGAAAGUGUGGGUAUCGAACAGGAUUAGAUACCCUAGUAGUC
rnacentral:rRNA from 1 species